rnacentral:rRNA from 1 species
CCUACGGGAGGCAGCAGUAGGGAAUAUUGCUCAAUGGGGGAAACCCUGAAGCAGCAACGCCGCGUGGAGGAUGAAGGUUUUCGGAUUGUAAACUCCUUUUGUUAGAGAAGAUAAUGACGGUAUCUAACGAAUAAGCACCGGCUAACUCCGUGCCAGCAGCCGCGGUAAUACGGAGGGUGCAAGCGUUACUCGGAAUCACUGGGCGGAAAGAGCGCGUAGGCGGGAUAGCAAGUCGGAUGUGAAAUCCUAUGGCUUAACCAUAGAACUGCAUUUGAAACUGUUAUUCUAGAGUAUGGGAGAGGUAGGUGGAAUUCGUGGUGUAGGGGUAAAAUCCGUAGAGAUCAAGAGGAAUACUCAUUGCGAAGGCGACCUGCUAGAACAUAACUGACGCUGAUGCGCGAAAGCGUGGGGAGCAAACAGGAUUAGAUACCCUAGUAGUC